AGCAUUAUACAAGUCUAAAUCAUGCCCUACAGAUCCCUCAUAAACCCAAAAUUGUUACUUGGGCAACUUUGUUUGGGUAUAUACAAUUGGCUUGCUGACUUCAGUAAACAUGUUUGAGACACUUUUGAGUUUGUGUGUACGGAAAUUGAUCACUCUUCGAAUUCUAAAUUGUAACUAUUGAUAACCAAAAGUGACAAUAAUCAACUUGGCUGAUAUUUGGAGGCAACACAAAAUUUGAACAACCCUAGUGUGCUUAAAUCGUUUAGCAUACAGCCCAAUUUGAUUGAUUGUCUGAAGACGCAAUGCCGGCAUAACCGGAACUAUAGCAUUAUUUUUUAUUAUUAAAUUCAACGGACAGCAGUACAGCAUUCUCUUAUUAUCAGUGGUUUAGAACUCAAUUGUUAUUUAUAAGCUUGCUCAGUAUAACGUUUACCGUCAAACAGAACACAACAUGGACCGUUGGCAAGGCAAAGUGGCUAUAGUAACUGGUGCGAGCUCCGGUAUCGGCGCUGCAACGGUUAAGGAACUGGUCAAGGCGGGGAUGGUAGUCGUUGGAUUGGCCAGGAGAGUUGAGCAGAUCCAAGCACUGAAAGCUGAUCUCCCCAAGGAAGUUGCAUCUAAUUUGUAUGCCUUUAAAUGUGACAUCGCGAAAGAAGACGAUAUUCUGAAGGCCUUCAAAUUUGUCGAGGAGAAAUUCGGUGGAAUGGACGUCCUAGUGAAUAAUGCCGGUGCGUAUGAGAAUGUUGAUUUGUUGGUGGCCGGCAACACUAGCGCCUUACGGCAGUCAUUGGAUGUGAAUGUGCUGGGACUGGCCCUGUGUAGCCGGGAGGCAUUUAUAUCAAUGAAGAAAAGAGCUGCUGAUGGACACAUUAUUCAUAUUAAUAGCAUCGAAGGUCACAAAGUCCCGUGCUACCCGGGUGCCAACCUGUACCCGGCGAGCAAGCAUGCAGUGACAGCUAUUACCGAAACGAUGCGGAAUGAGAUGAGAAAUGCUGGCACCAAAAUUAAAGUUACGAGCAUCAGUCCCGGACUGGUGAAAACUCCUAUGAUGGAUCUUUGCGAUGAGUAUGGAAGCCACGAUACCAGUACGAUGCCAAUGCUUCACCCGAUAGACAUUGCUCAAGGUAUUCUUUAUGCACUGGGUACGCCGCCUCAUGUGCAGGUCCAUGAAUUGACCAUAAAAGCUGUUGGAGAACCGGUUUAGGAGAUAUUUUCAUACGAAAAUGUUGAAAGCAGAAUAUAACAUAAUAGUGGUAUUCACAAAGCGUAAAGAUAUACGCCCUCGUUAAUGAGUAAACUUCCAUUACACUUGAAUGGACCCUGAUAUUUUAACAACAGUGUACAUUAGACGAUGCAAAAUUUGAAAUUUUCGCUCCACAGUGCAAUAUGAAAAAAAGCUAGAGGACAAUGAACAAAAAGUUUGGUUUUCCCAUGGUAAUUUCCAUAUAAACAUCUAAUGGUUUGUGCCCAGCCAGUUUGUUUAUCAAAUGAGUUCACAUUUUGCGAGGGUAAUCAGGACGCAAUUUGGCACCGUUUAAGUGAAAAUUUCAAAUUUUGUAUUAGCCUAGUGUGCAUGCUUACGAUGCGCAUAGUGAAUACCUCUAAUGUGAAUGUCGAUGACAAUAUGCAUAUUCUUAACCGUAAUAUUGGUAGAUAAGCAACACAAUUAUUUCACCUCGUUAAUGAAUAAAAUAAUCUUCUUAAUAAGACUAUCCGUUGAGUUAUUUAAGUGUUAUUUCCGAAAAAAUCGAGGCAAUCGAAUUUUUGUCGAGUGGUGAAUUUAUCUUUAACGGUGAGAAUACUGCAACACUGCACGAGAGCGAUUGUUGAGCGCUACAGACAGGUGCGGGACUCGAUUUUUCGGAGGAAGAAAUGGCAACAGGAAGACCGAAAUUGCGGAGCGAUAAAACAGUUGUACCGCGUUAACGACACACGAAAGCUCUACAAGAAGCUCGCCCAAAAGGCUACCUUUAUAACGGUUAUAGGUAGGUAUAUAGCAGAAAAUGAAAGUGGCACGGUAACAGAUCAAGGAGCACGCGCAGAUGACGCACAGGCCGCAGUCCUCCAAGUAAUCGAGGAAGUGAUCGAUGGGUUGAAACACAAUUAAACCGCUGAGAUUUUACUAGCGAAGUGGAUGGUGUGUCAGAUCUACAAAAUUGGAUUGCUACCGUUACCACGCUAUCACGUCAUUGACCACCACCUAUCUCCAAAAUGCUAUGCUAACGUCUAUCACCAACAGCAAUCAAGAGAGUUAAGCGCUGUCCAGACUGAGCUGUAUAACAAGUUAUAACGGUUGUCAAAUAAUUGCAACACAGAAACCACCAUCAAGAUAGCGCUAUAACAUGUUAUAACCAUAGAGGUAACUCUAAGGCUAGAAGGUCCCGGAGAAACGUGCUCAACUUUUUGGCUCAGCUCUGGUACUAUCUUCGGUCCCAAGCUAAUCUAUGCACCCCUCGAAACAUAGGAAAAUCCACGAGCCACUAAUUUUAUCUGUCAAACUUUCAUAGCGCAUCAAAACAAACAUAGUAGUUGAAUUUUGACUAGAAUGGGGUACGUUAAUCGAUUUGCUUGGGACCAAUAGGCUAGUCAAGAGUUGAGCCAAUUUUAAAUCGUUAGUUUCCAACCGGUGGUAAUACCAUAGAGGUAACUCUAAGACCACUGGGUCCCGAAGAAAAUCAUUAUUAUUUUUGGCUCACUCAGUACCAGAACAACGGUCCCAAGCAGUCCCAAGCUAUUUCACU